CGUGCAGGCGGUGCGGUAAGUUGGGCGUGAAAUCUCCCGGCUCAACUGGGAGAGGUCGUCCAAUACUACCGUACUUGAGAGCAGAAGAGGAAAAUGGAAUUCCCGGUGUAGUGGUGAAAUGCGUAGAUAUCGGGAGGAACACCAGUGGCGAAGGCGAUUUUCUGGUCUGUUUCUGACGCUCAGACGCGACAGCUAGGGUAGUAAACG
rnacentral:rRNA from 1 species